rnacentral:rRNA from 1 species
AUGCUACCUUAGCACGGUCAGGAUACAGUGCAAAGGUAGCAUAAUCAUUUGCCAUUUAAUUGGUGGCUGGAAUGAAUGAAUAUACGAGAGCAUAACUGUCUCUUAUUUAUAAAUAAAAAUUGACCUUCAAGUGAAGAGACUUGAAUCUUUUAAAAAGACGAAAAGACCCUAUAGAGCUUUACUUAUAACUGACUUUAUUUCAGUUCCAAGUUUAGUUGGGGCAACUAGAGGAUUCUUAAACACCUCUUAGAUACAUAAAAAGAUCCAGCAUAGCUGAUUAAUAGAAGAAGCUACCUUAGGGAUAACAGGCUAAUCCUGUUUAAGAGACCAUAUUGACAACAGGGCUUGGCACCUCGAU